GUUAAUUCUUAAAGCCUGGGAAAUAUCUGACCUUCAAAUAUUUUUAUCUGGGCUUGACAUAUAUCUCCAACCCAUUCAGCCGAUAAUAUUACCCAGAGAAGGAUUUCUUUCCAUCUGACAGAGUGAGCUUACCUUCACUUCUUCUCCAUCUUUAAGCCAAAAUUCAGAUUUAUGCUCGAACGAAAAGCCAAGACUCCUUAUUAUGGGUUUGGUCUUCAAUGCUUAAUCUGUAAUGUCCUUUAAGAAUACUAAAUUUGAUGAAAACGAAGAUGAUCACACAUCUCACAGUGAUUGUCUCAAGCAAACGGAAAAGUGGUUCUGAAUCUGGCAUGGCUCCACCUGUCGUUGCUGUUGCUACCUGGUGCUGCUGUGACAGGUCUGCAUCCACUCUGUACAUAAGCCUUACAGUUAUGUACACGGGGUUCUUAUCAUAUAGCUAGUAAUUUUCAGCUGCUGCUGUCGCUAUAGUCUUGUAAAUCUUUAAAUGGUUAUUCCCAAAGACACUCGCUUCUUUUCCUUGUAUAGUUUUUAUCUAUUGCUUAUUGCUGAAAUCGAGAAGCAUCAGUCUGUUGGUUGUGCUUGUCAGUUGCCAUUUGGCUAAGAAAGUAAGGUUAGCUACCAGUUCUUGGUUUCCUGCUCCUAUGAUUAUGUACCUUGUUAAGAUGCUGAUAUUGAGCACUGUAAAAUGUUUUUGUAAGAAGAUGAUUUGUGUUUUCUUCUCACAAUCUUUGUUUCCUGCUUUAAAAACACCUUUAUAAAAGCACAAUUGUUUGCUAUUGCUUUUAGAA